UACGAAGGGGGGCGAGCGUUUGUUCGGAUUUACUGGGCGUAAAGGGCGCGCAGGCGGCUUUGUUUGUCAGGCGUGAAAGCCCCGGGCUUAACCUGGGAACUGCGUUUGAUACGGCAGGGCUAGAGUUCGGGAGAGGAGAGUGGAAUUCCCAGUGUAGAGGUGAAAUUCGUAGAUAUUGGGAAGAACACCGGUGGCGAAGGCGGCUCUCUGGACCGAUAGUGACGCUGAGGCGCGAAAAGCGUGGGGAGCAACAGG
rnacentral:rRNA from 1 species